AUAUUUUGGUGGAAAUUAUAAAAUUUAGAAAAAUAAGGGAAAUUAGAGAUGAGAAGGGUAAAAGUGGAAUAACCAAAAUAGUGGAAUUAGGUUUAAAUUUAAAAAGAAAAGUGUGAGGGUUGAGGGAGUUUACUGAUACGUAGAAGUUGUAUUGAGAAAAAAAGGAAAUAGGCAAAGUGAGAAAAAGGAAGAACAAUGG
rnacentral:lncRNA from 1 species